rnacentral:rRNA from 1 species
CCUACGGGAGGCAGCAGUGGGGAAUUUUGGACAAUGGGGGCAACCCUGAUCCAGCCAUGCCGCGUGCGGGAAGAAGGCCUUCGGGUUGUAAACCGCUUUUGGUCGGGAAGAAAGGUUUCUCUUGAAUACGGAGGGACUGUGACGGUACCGGCAGAAUAAGCACCGGCUAACUACGUGCCAGCAGCCGCGGUAAUACGUAGGGUGCGAGCGUUAAUCGGAAUUACUGGGUGUAAAGAGUGCGUAGGCGGUUCGUUAUGUCUGUGGUGAAAGCCCUGGGCUCAACCUAGGAAUGGCCAUGGAAACUGGCGGGCUGGAGUAUGGCAGAGGGGGGUGGAAUUCCGCGUGUAGCAGUGAAAUGCGUAGAGAUGCGGAGGAACACCGAUGGCGAAGGCAGCCCCCUGGGCUACUACUGACGCUGAGGCACGAAAGCGUGGGGAGCAAACAGGAUUAGAUACCCUGGUAGUCCACGCCCUAAACGAUGAUCACUAGGUGUUGGGGAAGUGAUUCCUUGGUACCGCAGCUAACGCGUGAAGUGAUCCGCCUGGGGAGGUACGGCGCGAGUAAACGUACGUAAUAGUAGUUAGAGUCGUUGAGAGUUGCCGACGGCGACGACGAGGGAGGAGG